rnacentral:rRNA from 1 species
AUUGAACGCUGGCGGCAGGCCUAACACAUGCAAGUCGAGCGAGCGGCGGACGGGAGUGUUAUGUCUGGGGACUGCCCGAGAGAGGGGGAUAACUACCGGAAACUGAGACUAAUACCGCAUUUUAUCGGAUAACCCAUAUGGGUUGAGCUAGUAGGUGGGGCAAAGGCUCACCUAGGCGACGAUCUUUCCCUGGUCUGAGAGGAGGAUCAGCCACACGGGGACUGAGACACGGCCCAGACUCCUACGGAGGCAGCAGUGGGGAAGAUUGCACAAUGGGGGCAAGCCGGAUGCAGCCAUGCCGCGUGUGUGAAGAAGGCCUUAGGGUUGUAAAGUACUUUCAGCGGGGAGGCGUUACCCACAGAAGAAGCACCGGCUAACUCCGGGCCAGCCGCCGCGGUAAUUC